UCGACGAUGAAGCCUUUCGGGGUGGAUUAGUGGCGAACGGGUGAGUAACACGUGGGCAAUCUGCCCUUCACUCUGGGACAAGCCCUGGAAACGGGGUCUAAUACCGGAUAACACUUCCCUCCUCCUGGAGGGUGGUUAAAAGCUCCGGCGGUGAAGGAUGAGCCCGCGGCCUAUCAGCUUGUUGGUGAGGUAAUGGCUCACCAAGGCGACGACGGGUAGCCGGCCUGAGAGGGCGACCGGCCACACUGGGACUGAGACACGGCCCAGACUCCUACGGGAGGCAGCAGUGGGGAAUAUUGCACAAUGGGCGAAAGCCUGAUGCAGCGACGCCGCGUGAGGGAUGACGGCCUUCGGGUUGUAAACCUCUUUCAGCAGGGAAGAAGCGAAAGUGACGGUACCUGCAGAAGAAGCGCCGGCUAACUACGUGCCAGCAGCCGCGGUAAUACGUAGGGCGCAAGCGUUGUCCGGAAUUAUUGGGCGUAAAGAGCUCGUAGGCGGCUUGUCACGUCGGUUGUGAAAGCCCGGGGCUUAACCCCGGGUCUGCAGUCGAUACGGGCAGGCUAGAGUGUGG
rnacentral:rRNA from 1 species